rnacentral:sRNA from 1 species
UCCCAGUCUUUACGGAUACCCGGCCGAC